ACGGACGGUCAUAGCGGUUUGGCAAUACCCGAUCCCAUUUCGAACUCGGAAGUCAAGCAGACCUACGUUCUUAGUUGUACUGUUCUCUGAACGGGAAGCUAAGAAAGCUGUCCGUC
rfam:Candidatus Woesearchaeota archaeon CG1_02_47_18 cg1_0.2_scaffold_6596_c, whole genome shotgun sequence.